GGUUCGCGUAGGCUGUCGUCACCGCCCAAGUUUGUGGGAGUUUAGUCUGUAGUGUCCAUCCUUAGGAAGUUUCCGCGCCACGGAAGUGGAAGUCACAGGCAAACCGAUCUGUGCGCGGCGGCCUGCAUUGAAGCUGGAGAGUAUUUUAAACACUACGGAGCGUUUUCCCUAACGGAUCAGGCACAUACACUUGGAAGAAUAAUAAAUCUAAGAAGAAAUUUUAUAAUGAAAAAUUUACAAGAAAGAAAUUUACAAAAUGCCUGAGUCCUGGAAGAAAAGAUUCCAGAGGAAAAACUAAAUAUAAUGAGCAGAAAAAACAAACAAACAAACAAACAAACAAACAAAAAAACCCAACCGACCAACCAAUGAGAACCAACCAACCAACCAGCCAACCAAAUGAGAACUAACCAGUGAGAACCAACCAAUGAGAACCAACCCCGAGGAACAGAGGAAGCACAAGAUAAUGUUUUGAACGAUGACAGGAACAUUUUUUUACUUUUCUUUCUGCUAUUGAAGGCGAGGCAUUAAAAUUGAAGUGCUUUUAGCAUGGUUUCUAGAAUAUCUGGUUAAUGGAGUCCUGCUCCCUACCACACUGAUUUUAGGGAUGCAUUUGGUUUGCGCUCAAUUAGGUUUGAUGAUGCUAAGUGAGAACUUUGUUCAGGCCGAGUCGGAAGGCAUUAUCUCACUGAGUACACACGUCAUCGAGUUUCAUGACUCUGAUUUAUAGCGAUUGAUUUCCAGGUCUUGGAUUAUUUCUGAUGUGUGUGGGUGUUUUGUCUCUAUGUACAUCUGUGCACUAUGUGUGUAGCUGGUGCCCUCAGAGGCUAGACGAGGAGGUUAAAUCCCCUAGGACUGUAGUCUCAGACAGUUACAGGCUACCAUGUGUGGCUGAGAAUUUAGCUCAGGACCUCUGGAAGAACAGCCAGCUCUCCUAGUCACUGAGCCAUCUCUCCAAUCCU
rnacentral:lncRNA from 1 species